rnacentral:rRNA from 1 species
GAGUUUGAUCUUGGCUCAGAUUGAACGCUGGCGGCAGGCCUAACACAUGCAAGUCGAGCGGAUGAAGGGAGCUUGCUCCUGGAUUCAGCGGCGGACGGGUGAGUAAUGCCUAGGAAUCUGCCUGGUAGUGGGGAUAACGUCCGGAAACGGGCGCUAAUACCGCAUACGUCCUGAGGGAGAAAGUGGGGGUCUUCGGACCUCACGCUAUCAGAUGAGCCUAGGUCGGAUUAGCUAGUUGGUGGGGUAAAGGCCUACCAAGGCGACGAUCCGUAACUGGUCUGAGAGGAUGAUCAGUCACACUGGAACUGAGACACGGUCCAGACUCCUACGGGAGGCAGCAGUGGGGAAUAUUGGACAAUGGGCGAAAGCCUGAUCCAGCCAUGCCGCGUGUGUGAAGAAGGUCUUCGGAUUGUAAAGCACUUUAAGUUGGGGGGAAGGGCAGUAAGUUAAUACCUUGCUGUUUUGACGUUACCAACAGAAUAAGCACCGGCUAACUUCGUGCCAGCAGCCGCGGUAAC